UCCUGCUGUUUUUAUUUUUAUUUUUUAAAAAAUCCCAAGUAGCAAUGAUGCUAGCAGAACAACAUGACAACAUUGUCACAAUCAGAUAUUUUUCCUAACAGUUGCAUAGAUGCCUCAGAGAGCCUGUGUGUGAGAGAGACGGGGAGAGACAGAAGAUGGGCUUCUUUGACAGAAUGAUAUGAAAAUUCACCCUGCUGAUAAAAGGAGGAGAAUCAAGCCAGACAAUCUCUUUCCAAGGCUAUGAAACUGAUUAAGGUCAAAAUCAUUGAUAAAGCUGUAAUAAUCUCUUCUGCCUUAGGCCAUUGAGCUUCCUGAUUUCCCAGAAUUCUACUCGUCAGGGACCAUAACAAGAAUAAAUCCAAGCAUUUGGCACA